GCUGUCUUCAGAACACAAGAGUGCUUGCUCACUUUGGCAGCACAUAUAGAGAAGAUUAGCAUGGUCCCUGUGCAAGGAGGACCCUCAAAUUUGUAAAAACUUCCGUAUUUUU